AUUCGAUCAUUAAAUUGUGGUAAAACUGAACAACAAUGUUCGAAGCGUCACUUCUCUUUUACUUUCUUCUUCCCUUUCUUUUCAUCUUCUUCAAACUACUUCUUACCAAUUCCGAUGAAAACUCACAACCUAAAUCAUACCCCUUCAUCGGCAAUUAUCUCUCCAUCUACGCCAAUAGCCACCGUCUUACACAGUGGACCUCCGACGCUAUCCACAACUCCCCCAGCUUCACCUUCGUGGUCCGCCGUCCUUUCGGUCAAAAACGUGUGCUCACCGGAAACCCCGCAAACGUUCAGCAUAUCCUCAAGACUAAAUUCUCAACAUACCAAAAAGGCGAUAUUUUCCGGUCAACUCUCUUCGAUCUGCUCGGAGAUGGAAUCUUUAACGUCGAUGGGGACGAAUGGAAGUUCCAGAGGCAGCUUUCCAGCCAUGAAUUUAACACAAAGUCCCUUCGCCAUUUCGUCGAACAUGUGGUCGAUGAUGAACUCAACAAACGUUUAAUCCCAAUAUUAACCACCGCUGCUGCUAAUGACACUGUUCUUGAUCUCCAAGACAUUCUUCAAAGAUUUGCACUUGAUAAUAUUUGCAGAAUCGCCUUUGGGUAUGAUCCUGCUUACUUAACCCCGUCGCUGCCAAAAGCUAAAUUUGCAGUUGCUUUCGAAGACGCUGUUCGUAUUAGCAGUGAGAGAUUCCGUACGAUUACGCCAUUGUUUUGGAAGUUCAAAAGGUUUUUAAACAUCGGAUCGGAGAAACGACUUAAAGAAGCAGUUGCCGAGAUUCGUCGGUUCACCACGAAAAUAUUGAACGAAAAGAAACAAGAACUCACGACCGAACCCGUUGAUUUGUUAUCACGAUUUCUGAACUCGGGUCAUUUGGAUGAGAACCUUGUAACGGAUAUUGUAAUCAGCUUCAUACUCGCCGGAAGAGACACAACCUCGGCGGCUUUGACGUGGUUCUUCUGGUUACUUUACAAGAACCCGGCGAUCGAAAAUGAAGUUGUGAAAGAAGUCAAAGAGAAAUCAGAUUCCCCCAUUUACGAUGAAGUGAAGGAUAUGGUUUACACUCAUGCUAGUCUCUGUGAAAGCAUGAGGCUCUACCCGCCGGUUCCGGUGGACUCGAAGCUGGCGAACGCCGACGACGUUUUGCCGGACGGGACCGUCGUGAAGAAAGGUAUGAUGGUGAGUUAUCAUCCGUAUGCAAUGGGAAGAAUGGAAAGUAUUUGGGGGGGAAAUUGGACAGAAUUCCAACCGGAGAGAUGGUUGGAGAAGGAUGAUACAGCGGAGAAGAUGAAGUUUAGGGCGAGGGAUCCGUAUGUGUAUCCAGUGUUUCAGGCGGGUCCGAGGAUUUGUCUGGGGAAGGAUAUGGCGUUUUUGCAGAUGAAGCGAGUGGUGGCAGGCGUUUUACGGCAGUUUAUGGUGGUUCCUGCGGUGGAUGAUGGUGGUGAGCCAGUUUUUGUGGCGGCUUUGACCUCCAAAAUGAAAGGUGGGUUUCCGGUCAAGAUUAAGGAACGAAAGGAUGAUUAAAAAAGUAAUUAUGAACGGGUUUGAUGAGCAAUCUACAUAUAUGUAACUGAGGAACACUCCUGUGGUUUGGACUGGAUACGGGAUCAACACGAUCUUUUCCGGAAUUGCCGGGAGCAUGGAUAUAGAUUAAUGGUACGGUUAUUCAAUCACAUUCGGCCGCACAAAACCCUAUCAAUAAUUGAAGGAAGACUAGCGAUUGCAAGGAGUCAAGGGCUUUGUGAAGUAUUCGUCAAUUCAAGAUAAAAUGUGGAUAUUUCUGGUGAUGAUGACAAUUGUUAAUCUCGGAGGUACUAAGCGUGUAAGAAAAGAACCUUGACAAAUUUUAGUCACGUCAUCAGGUGAAGGAAGUGAAGGUGAACUCGAUCCAAAAUUGUGUAUGCUUCGUCGACGUAAACGUGCUAUGUCAUCCAUUGAUGCAACAGGUAAACCUUAUAUGUUUUUACUGUUUACUAAAAGUUAAGUUAAAGAAAAAUUUAAAUGUAAUGGAUUUCAGAUUUCUAUUUUUGACCUGAUUUGUGUUUUUAACUUCAAAUCUGAAAUUUUGGACAAUGUACUUUUUACAACCUUAUCAACAACUUAAACAACGUGUGGGUGUUAUUCGGUUGGGUAAUUAUAUUUUCUUUUUAUUCGGGUUCGGGAAAUGUACUUUCUAAUUUCUGCAGGAAGAAGUGGUUCGAGAAAAAAAUCCUCAAUCAAAAUCAAAUUUGCUUGUUGGUGAAGGAGCUGUCUCUAACACAACUGAGCCAGUAGUUUGCCAAAAUACGGAUUUUUUUCCCAAAUCGGGCACUACAUGUAAAGAUCAUCAAACCAUGGAUAUACACCCAUGCUUAACACAAUUUAGUGAAGAUGGAUUACAAUAUCAUUUUCUUUUUUAUUUUAUAAAAGCCACUGCUAUGUCUUCUUUUGCAUCCUUUUUUUAGUUUUUAAAGAUCAUCAGACCAUGCAUAUAAACCCAUGCUUUCUUAUACAAAAUAACAACAAUUCAACUGUGAUUGCCAGAGAAGAAAACUAGAAAGAAAACCAAAUCCUUGUUUGUUUUAUUAAUUAUCUCCUUCAGUUUAGUCUAUAUCUCUUUGUCUCUAUCUAUCCUCACAUCAUAAACAUAGAACUGUUACAUCCUUUCAUGGCAUCUGUUGGAAUAAUCAAAAUCUAGGACAGGUUUCACCCAGGGGUAUUUUGGGAAAAACCAUCGUAUUUUUAGUUUUUUUGUUAGAUUAGGAUUUUUUUUUGGUUUAGUAUGAAGUGGAAAUGUAUCUAUGAUGUUUUAAUUAAGUUUUAUUCAUAUUUUUCUCAACAAAGCUUGGAGUACAAGAAAAUUUUCCCAGAAAAUUUUUCCCCUGUUUUGUUCUUCACCUAUUCCGCCUCUGUAUCUUGUUUUUAUGUCUCUGGCCAGCUGUGAUUUCUGUGUUUCUUUCUUUCUUUCCACUUAUGUUUAUACAUUUACACGCUUAUGUGACUAAAAAAAAGGAGGGAGUGGUUCUAGAGAAAAUACUCAACCGGAUUCAUUAGCCACAGAGGAAGUCGUUCCAAGUAAUAGUAGACAAUUUAUUCUUUUAUUUAUAAUAUUACAGGUUAUGCAUUAGUUGAUGUAUACUUUCUGUUGUGUAGAUCAACCACAGAGGCGGAGGCGAGGCCCUAAUAUUAAUAAAAAGGCUUCAUAGAUUUUGGAAAAACAACCUGAUGCUCGAAUUACAUUGACAAGAGAUACCUAUACAAAGAAAUUCAUUGGGGAUUCAGCAAUAUCUUUUGCAACGGAGGUUGGAAUUGUGAUGCGGAGCUUUUGUGAAAUGGAAUUCCAUACAUGGGAGAAAGUAGCAAAAGAAAAUAAAGAAGAAAUGAUUAACAGAUUACGUGAAAAUUUUGAAUUACCGCACGAAGAUAAAGUUCUGAUGGAGUAUGUAGAUGAACAAAUGCGGCGACAAUGGAAACGCGCACGAAAUAUUUUCAAAGAUUAUUGGAAGAAAAAUGGAGGAAUGACGGAUCCAUAAUUUGCAAGAUCUAAAAUGAAGCCAGAUUGUCGUAGCGAAGAAGAUUGGGGUUAUUUGUGCGAUUAUUGGGAAUCGGAUAAAGCGAAGCAAUAUGCUGAACAAAUGAAACAUAAUCGGGGAAAACUUGCUAUUCCAAGUAGAGGAGGCUCAAGAUCGAUAGCAAAUCACAAAUUUUCCAUGACAAAUAAAGAGACUCAAAUGCUCCCCAGUCCAAUCGAGUUAUAUCAAAAGUUGCAUUUUGAUCCUAUAAAGAAAUGCAUAAAUGAUGAGUCACGCAUUCAAUACGAAAAUAUUCUCCAACUCAAGGAGGAAGAAUGUGUCAAAUUAGUUUCGGCAGGAACAAACAUUACUUAAGAAAUGGAAUACGACAUACAGAAAAAAGUCAUUAAAACUAUUUGUGUCAAACAUAAAACAUUAUAAUCUGGAUGGGAGGCUUCAAGUGGACCUGUUAUGAGGAAAAAAGAUAUACAUCUCUUAUCAACCGCAGAAACAUCUCAAUCAGCCUCAAAAGACGAAGAAGAUAUGAAAAAGUAAGAUUGUUGCACUUGAGGAGGAGGUUCGAAUAAAUGACCAAAAAGUCAAACAAAGUGAGGAAAAAUGUGAAAAAAUGUUCCAGUUUAUUAUCUCGAAGUUCCCGGAUUCUUAAAACAUAUUAUGUCCACCCGAUGAAGAUGAAGCUCGUGCGUACGAUGACAUAACAGAUCUAUCAGAGCAAGCGUAGCAAGCGUAACAUUCUUGACCGGUUAUUAAAAUUUGGAACUUCUUUCACGUAUGGUUUAGUUAUUGACUAGUUUAUUAGACAUUUUUGUUUGUUGUUUUAAAUUUGGAUAUGAUGUCUAAAUUACAGUUUAUUUAUCUAGUACUAGGUCAUUUGGUGUA